GUCUCCGUGGCUCACUCGGGAGAACACCCGACUAUGAUGCGGUAGGAUUCGGGUUCGAGCCCCGGUGAAGGCA